UUAAAGAUAAGCUAAUCUAAGCUGACGGGUUCAUACCCCGUUUAUGAGAAUCUCUCUUUAAA
rnacentral:tRNA from 1 species